GCCCUGCUCCUGCUUUUCCUGGAUGGCCUCCUGGACACACCCCAUGAAGGUGUCGAGCUCCGCCUUCCGCUUCUCCUGCUGCUUCAUGCCGAACUUGAAGAUGUUCAGGCAGAUGACGACGAACUUGUCCUUGUAGCUCCUCCCACCGGGCCUGCUCUUCCUCCAGCUGGGCCUGCAUCAGGCUCUCCUGGUGCUUCAGCUCGUCCACGCUGCACUGGUGCUUCAUCUCUGCCAGCUCUUUCUGUUGGAGGAUCGGGAAGCGGCAUCGUCACCAGGGUCAUGGGGUCCCUCCUAGCCGCUGGCCUCUGCCGUGCUGUGGCCUCUUCAGCGUGGGCGGGGAUCCCCUCCCCGCAGCCCUUGCCAAGUAUUCUGAGCCUCAGGGAAAUCAGUGGGGGAAGCAGCACGGGCAGGCCGAGGGUCCGUGGGACAUCCCUGGGGUGGAGGCGCCCAGCGAAGACUCGGCCGCUCCCCCAGGCCUCCCUGACCAGGCUCUGGCCCUCUUGUAGGGCUGCACAAGGGAGAGGUGCAGUGGGUGCCCGAGCCACAGGCCUGGGCACGAGGUCUCAGCCCUCGGCUCUGGGCCCUGCCCCCUCCGGCCCUCCUCCACCCGUCCUGCGUAUCCCCCUGCCUGCGCUGGGGGCUGCUGGAGCCCCAGGUGACAUCGCCUGUGCUAAGGCUUCAGGUACAAGCACCGCCGACUCUCUGUGCUCCAGUAUCUGCUCCCCCCACCCCCGCCCCCUCCUCUCUCUCAGGACCGUGGCCUGCACGCCCUGCCCUCUCCCUCUUAUGCUGUAAGCCCCAUGCCAGCUUCCAGGUCCCUGAAUGCUCAUCACAUCAUGAACUCUGCUGAAAACCACAGGGUUCUUCUCCACGGGCCUCCGUCUCAGCAGGACAAGCCCUGAACCCCAGCGUCGCCCUCCUGCCUGUCUCCCCCCCAACACAGAAAGCUCCCCAAGCUCACAGCCCUCACCCGUUCGUGUGCUCUGCUGAGACUGUCCACCGUUCCUCAGGGCUGCGCCAGCCUUCAGGCCCGAUGGAAAUGGGGAGGCACCGCAAGAGCCUGCCCUCAGCCCUGGUCGGCCUCGGCUGGGCCCGGCUGUCCUGCUGCCCGAGCCUGGCAGCACCAGCAGGUGAGAGGCUUGGGGCUAGCCUGGGGGCAGGCAGCAGCAUGGACGGGGGUUCCCGGUGCCCCUGCUUUGCGGGGCUCUGCUCUUACAACCUUUCCCUUAUUACUGAUCUUGGUGCUUCUAGGCAAAGCCUCUGAGAUGCGGAAGGAGGCUUUGUUUCCCGCAGCACAGCGGGGGGCCAGGCUGGGCGGCCUGCCCCCUGUGGAAUCUUCUGGGGAAGAGGAGAAACUGGCUGGGGAGGGGCUCGGGAACCGUGCGGUGUCCGGCUGUGCAUGGUUUUUUGUUUUUUGGGGUUUUAAAAAAUAUUUAUUGUAUUUAUUUGGUUAUGCUGGCUCCUUAAUUGCAGUACGUGUGCUCCUUAGUUGUGGCGUGCAAACUCUUGGUGGCGACAUGCACAUGGGAGCUAGUUCCCUGACCCGGGAUCGAACCUGGGCCCCCUGCAUUGGGAGCUCGGAGUCUUAACCACUGUGCCACCAGGGAAAUCCCUGUGUACGCUCUUAUGAUGAGCGAAAUACACCCCAGCAGCUCUUCAGCUAUUCCAAGCAUUUGAGCCCACGCUGCCUUUCAAAUUAUUGUCUAAAUGCAAAAAGUAAGACUUGAGCGUCUUGGGACUUCCCUGGUGGUCCAGCAGUUAAGACUCUGCGCUCCCACUGCAGGGGACCCGGGCUCGAUCCCUGGUCAGGGAACUAGAUCCCACGUGCCGCAGCUAAGACCCGGAGCAGCCAAAAAAAGUAAAUAAAUAUUAAAAAAAAAAAAAAAAAAGACUUGAGAGUCUUGGAAUUCAAGAUUUCAGAUUCUUGUCCUGUUCUGGGACAAGAGAAGGCCAUGGUCGGACGAGGGGCAACUCUCUGGGCACCCCGACCCCGGCUGUUCUCCGUGGACCCCCCAGGAAGACACCCGUGAGUGGAGGGCUCCACGCUUGGCAGGCGGUGUGGCAGCCAGGACGGCAGUGUCAGCACCGAGACCCGGGGCCCAGCCGCCCUCCCUGCUUCCACUGGGCUCUCCCUGAGCCCCACAUCACCUCAGGCCCCACCCAGGCACAGGCUCCUUUCUCCCAGGAAGGGCACCAGCUCCCAGGGAGAAGGGUGGGCAGGUCCCUGUCCCCCACUGCCCACGCUCAGCACGCAGGGAUAUCCCGGUCCUGCCGCCAAAGGCCUCGUGUCGGGUGGGGUUCUUUUCUCCAGGGGGCAAAGCACCCACAAACGUCAUGCUGCAAAGGACGGGAAGCUCACAGCAGGGGAGUAGGAUAGAGGCAGGGGCGGUCAGGCCAGGCUGGGCAGUGCACUGGGGAGGGGGGCUUCCUCCCGGCCCUGCUGCCAGACCGCCGGGCCCAGCUCCCCACUCAGCACCCCGGCCACGGGGGGCCUCUCUCUGGGGCCGGUGCCCUCGGCUCAGAGGGCGCUACCAUGAGCUGUCGUGGCAUGGAGGCGAGUCCUGACUCUGCCCUGAGCUGCUGACCCCGCUAAUCGCCUACCCUCACUUGGUCCCCCGACUUGUUCACCCAGAAAAGCAGACGGCGGCCUCGAGGUGGGAGGUGGCACGACAGUAACGGGGGCAGUAAAGGCACCGCGAGGAGGGCCGCCCUGCGCUCCUCCUGUGGACGCGCCCCUCCCCAGACGCCGGGGCCUGCACGCUGACCCGCGGAGCUGGACGCACGAGGGCCACGCUACCAUGUGGUCGUCAAUGCGCUGGAAGUCCAGGUACACCAGGUCGGGGAGGUAGGCACAGAUGAACGUCCUGUAGUCCUCGGCCUCGGCGACCGGGUUCCCCGAGAGGCUGAGCGUCCGCAGGUCCUUGAACCGCCGCAGGUAGAUGAUCUGGGGGAGAGGGGGGUCGCCUGGGUCCUCUCUCCAUCCUCUGCCCGCACUGGGCGGAGCCACGAGGGAGGAGCCAUGGGCUUUGCCCAGGACCCGUGGACCUGGGUCCCCAUCUCCUCUUCUUAAGGUGGGUGCAGGGAUGUGGUGCAUAGGUGUUGAGAGGACCAAAUGCCACACGCUGUGAGGGCCUCCACCUGCUCCCGUGAUGCCCUGGCUGUGCCCAUCGCUGCUGCUCUCAGAACGGGCGGCCUUUUCCAACUGUAAAGUGCUGUGCAAGGCCCAGCGCUCCUAACUUCAACGGAACCUGAUUUACAGUUGGCCUGGACCAACUGGGUGGCAGCUAGUGGGAUGUCCACUGGCGGCCGUUUAUUCUUCCUAUUGUUAGUAACCGGGGGAAAGUCAGCGAGAUGCCCGUACCUCAUCUGACCGCAACUCCUGUGCUUUCCUGAAGGAGCGUCUUUGUCAUUUGGUUUAUUUGUUCAACAAAGAUCACUAAGCACCUACCAGGCCUCAGGUACGUGCCAGGCCUUAGGGACACAGUGGGAACAAAGCCUUUAUAGCAGGAGCUGGCACUGUAAGGCAGGGGACAAGAAUGUUUUAAAAGUAAGUAGAAUCAUUGCUGUUUGGUGUAAGUGCUAGAAGAACUCAAAGGGGGAGGGGGUGGAGAGGGGGCCUUAGGGACCAUGACGGGGGGGUUUCAGUUAGGACUGAGGCCUCUGAGGCCUGAGGGAGCAGCCAGGGAAGAGCAGGGGCCAGUGCAUUCCCAGAAGCAAAACCAGCACAAGCAAAGGCCCUGAGGCAGGAAAGAGCGUCCUGUACCAGGCACUCAGCGAGGCCAGGGGAGGGAACGGAGCGUCCACAGCAGGGCGGGGCGUGGCCUGAGAGCCAGUGUCCCCUCCACGCCCAGGCCUGGACCUGCGUCCAUUAGACUCUGCAGUGUCCGAGGGGCAGCAAGCCAGAGGGGAUCUGCUCACUGUGGCCCUGGGUACUGGACCAACCCAGGCAGGAACAGCUCAAGACACUCAGAAAGGUUUUCACAAGCAAGAUUUGGGGCUAUUGGGUGUGCCCUUAAUCUGAAAAUUCCUGAAUAAGCAUCAUUUCCUGCAGAGUUCUCCUGUGCCCAGUCCUGUAGCAGCCACUCAGCCCUAACUGACUCAGCCCUCACACCGGCCUGCCCCGCAGGCCACCGCUGUCCCGUACAGAUGGGCACGCGGGCCCCGGGUGCUGAGUCCCUGGCCCAAGACCAGGCGGCCAGGAGCCCGUUAAACCUCAGCUCUCCACUUACACCUCCCUCAGCUGUCCUGUGUGCCCCCGCCCCGCAGGGCAGAGGGCAGCUGAGCAAUCAGGUCUUGAACACUGGCAAGAGGUGGGCUGGGUUUACCACCUCCCAGGGGCGUGCAGGGCAAACCUCCCAGACCACACGGCCUCCGGGGUCCGGCCCUCAAACACAGCUGUGGACGAGGAAGACUGCGGCCUGGACUGCUGGGUCACAGCCACAAGGAGCAUCAGCCCAGGGCGACGCUAAGGGCGGCUGAGCCGAGAGGUGGGUCGGCCCCCUCCACGCAGCCCCCUGCUCCAGCCUCGGCCGUGGCUGCAGCGCCCAUCUCUCCCCUGCUCUCCGAGCCCCACCUGCAGCGAGGCCGGGAGGGAGUUAAUGCCGGGACGUGGCUCAGCCGCGGGGACAGGACUGGGGCUGGGGCUUGGGCCCCGGCACUCAGGUGUUCACUUCUGCACGCCCGCCCAGUGGCACGGAGCCCCCAUCGCGCACGGCGGCAGUCUCUGUCACACACCUGCACGGUGGCUGUGGUUGCCCCGGGGUCACCCAGCUUCCUGAGGUCACCCCGUGGCACCCAGGGCCCUGCCCCGGCCCUGCUGCCAGCUCACAGGGAGUGUUGGCAGAGCGAGCAUCUCUGGUCUGCAGGCAAACCUCCAUCCCUGCUACACUCAUUCGUGCAGGGGUGAGGGGGUGGGUGUUCCUUCUGAAACGCAGGCCUGCCCUGGGCACACACGGCGUAGAGCCCCCCACGGCUCUCCUCUGCCGCUCUGGCUGCCUGGCCCUGGGCACCGCCCUGCACCCACACCCCGACCCUUCCAGUGACCCGGGGCUGUUGUUGGUCUCUGUCCCCAGUGAGCAAGAGCCAGAGGCCCCACGGCCGAGGGGGCCCCACCCCAGCAAAUGUCUGCUGAGCGAGUGCGGGGACAGGGAAGGAAAGAUCCCACCGGGGCAGGGGCACAAACGGACCCGCACGUGGGCUCUCGUGGCCUAGGCUGGUGUGUGAACAUCAUCCAGUCUGGAAUUCUGGCCUUUCUGGGACAAGGCGAAGGUCGGAGGCUCAGCCCGUGGCCCCCCCGGCACCCUCGCUCACGUUCGUC